rnacentral:rRNA from 1 species
GGCCCGCGUUAGUUAGCAAUUAUACAGCGAAACUGCGAAUGGCUCAUUAUAUAAGUUAUCGUUUAUUUGAUAGUACCUUACUACUUGGAUAACCGUGGUAAUUCUAGAGCUAAUACAUGCUAAAAAUCCCGACUUACGAAGGGAUGUAUUUAUUAGAUUAAAAACCAAUGCCCUUCGGGGCUCACUGGUGAUUCAUAAUAACUUCUCGAAUCGCAUGGCCUUGCGCCGGCGAUGGUUCAUUCAAAUUUCUUCCCUAUCAACUUUCGAUGCUAGAGUAGUGUUCUAGCAUGGUUACAACGGGUAACGGAGGGUUAGGGCUCGACCCCGGAGAAGGAGCCUGAGAAACGGCUACUACAUCCAAGGAAGGCAGCAGGCGCGCAAAUUACCCAAUCCCGACACGGGGAGGUAGUGACGAUAAAUACUGAUACAGGGCUCUUUUGGGUCUUGUAAUUGGAAUGAGUACAAUUUAAAUCCCUUAACGAGGAACAAUUGGAGGGCAAGUCUGGUGCCAGCAGCCGCGGUAAUUCCAGCUCCAAUAGCGUAUAUUAAAGUUGUUGUGGUUAAAAAGCUCGUAGUAGAACCUUGGGCCUGGCUGGCCGGUCCGCCUCACCGCGUGCACUGGUCCGGCCGGGCCUUUCCCCCUGUGGAACCUCAUGCCCUUCACUGGGGUGUGUGGGAAAACAGGACUUUUACUUUGAAAAAAUUAGAGUGCUCCAGGCAGGCCUAUGCUCGAAUACAUUAGCAUGGAAUAUAGAAUAGGGACGUGUGGUUCUAUUUUUGUUGGUUUCUAGGACCGCCGUAAUGAUUAAUAGGGACAGUCGGGGGCAUCAGUAUUCAAUUGUCAGAGGUGAAAUUCUUGGAAUUUAUUGAAGACUAACUACUGCGAAAGAUUUGGCCAAGGAUGUUUUCUUUAUCAGGAACGAAAGUUAGGGGGAUCGAAGAAAUCCAAA